rnacentral:rRNA from 1 species
UACGAAGGGGGCUAGCGUUGUUCGGAAUUACCGGGCGUAAAGCGUGCGCAGGCGGCUUCUCAAGUCAGGGGUGAAAGCCCAGAGCUCAACUCUGGAAUUGCCUUUGAGACUGAGAGGCUUGAGUGCGGGAGAGGUGAGUGGAAUUCCCAGUGUAGAGGUGAAAUUCGUAGAUAUUGGGAAGAACACUGGUGGCGAAGGCGGCUCACUGGCCCGUAACUGACGCUCAGGCACGACAGCGUGGGGAUCAAACAGG